rfam:Pseudoxanthomonas sp. Root65 contig_1, whole genome shotgun sequence.
GCCCCGAAGCGGGGGUAUCGCCGGCCGGGCCGGUGAUUGAGACAGACCCUUCGAACCUGAUCCGGUUGAGACCGGCGUAGGGAAGCUUCGCAGGCUGCGCC